GAGCAGUUAGAGUUUAUCCAAAGCGACAAGAGUUAUUUUUCAUAUCUAAUGAUCAAAUUUGGUAUACUUCUACUUCACCAAAUAGUGUUGCAAGUGAGCUGUAUUCGACUGAACAAUAUACUGGAUAUGUAUAUGAAAUUGCAAUUGAUUAUGCAACUGAUAAAUUGUACUGGAUUGGAUUUGUCAACUCCUAUUAUACAUUGCAGUCUGUAAAUAUUGCAAGUUCUGCUCGACCAUUCAAAAAGGAAGACAUUCGUAACAUUAAAACUAUUGCAAGAGUUGCUACUUCUGCUGCUAAUUUAGUGGUAUUUAAUAAUGAAAUUUAUUGGACUGUAAUCAAGGAUGAUGAGAGAGCAUUGUUUUUAAAACGAGGUGAUGAUAUACCUUCUAAAGUAUUCAUACUAGAAUCAGAUACUAUAUU